UGCAGUCGAGCGGACAGAUGGGAGCUUGCUCCCUGAAGUUUGCGGCGGACGGGUGAGUAACACGUGGGUAACCUGCCUGUAAGACUGGGAUAACUCCGGGAAACCGGGGCUAAUACCGGAUGGUUGUCUGAACCGCAUGGUUCAGACAUAAAAGGUGGCUUCGGCUACCACUUACAGAUGGACCCGCGGCGCAUUAGCUAGUUGGUGAGGUAACGGCUCACCAAGGCGACGAUGCGUAGCCGACCUGAGAGGGUGAUCGGCCACACUGGGACUGAGACACGGCCCAGACUCCUACGGGAGGCAGCAGUAGGGAAUCUUCCGCAAUGGACGAAAGUCUGACGGAGCAACGCCGCGUGAGUGAUGAAGGUUUUCGGAUCGUAAAGCUCUGUUGUUAGGGAAGAACAAGUGCCGUUCAAAUAGGGCGGCAACUUGACGGUACCUAACCAGAAAGCCACGGCUAACUACGUGCCAGCAGCCGCGGUAAUACGUAGGUGGCAAGCGUUGUCCGGAAUUAUUGGGCGUAAAGGGCUCGCAGGCGGUUUCUUAAGUCUGAUGUGAAAGCCCCCGGGUCAACCGGGGAGGGUCAUUGGAAACUGGGGAACUUGAGUGCAGAAGAGGAGAGUGGAAUUCCACGUGUAGCGGUGAAAUGCGUAGAGAUGUGGAGGAACGCCAGUGGCGAAGGCGACUCUCUGGUCUGUAACUGACGCUGAGGAGCGAAAGCGUGGGGAGCGAACAGGAUUAGAUACCCUGGUAGUCCACGCCGUAAACGAUGAGUGCUAAGUGUUAGGGGGUUUCCGCCCGUUAGUGCUGCAGCUAACGCAUUAAGCACUCCGCCUGGGGAGUACGGUCGCAAGACUGAAACUCAAAGGAAUUGACGGGGGCCCGCACAAGCGGUGGAGCAUGUGGCUUAAUUCGAAGCAACGCGAAGAACCUUACCAGGUCUUGACAUCCUCUGACAAUCCUAGAGAUAGGACGUCCCCUUCGGGGGCAGAG
rnacentral:rRNA from 1 species